CGUCCUCCAACAUCGCAAGUCGAGCGGCAGCACGGUCCUUCGGUCUGGCGGCGAGUGGCGGACGGGUGAGUAAUGUCUAGGAAUCUGCCUGGUAGUGGGGGAUAACUUUCCGAAAGGGUCGCUAAUACCGCAUACGCCCUACGGGAGAAAGUGGGGGAUCUUCGGACCUUGCGCUAUUGGAUGAGCCUAUGUCGGAUUAGCUAGUUGGUGGGGUAAAGGCUCACCAAGGCGACGAUCCGUAACUGGUCUGAGAGGAUGAUCAGCCACACUGGGACUGAGACACGGCCCAGACUCCUACGGGAGGCAGCAGUGGGGAAUAUUGGACAAUGGGGGAAACCCUGAUCCAGCCAUGCCGCGUGUGUGAAGAAGGUCUUCGGAUUGUAAAGCACUUUAGGCUGGGAGGAAGGGUCGUGGGUUAAUACCUUGUUGUUUUGACGGUACCUGCAGAAUAAGCACCGGCUAACUUCGUGCCAGCAGCCGCGGUAAUACGAAGGGUGCAAGCGUUAAUCGGAAUUACUGGGCGUAAAGCGUGCGUAGGUGGUUCAGAAAGAUGGAUGUGAAAUCCCCGGGCUCAACCUGGGAACUGCCUUUUAACUACUGGCUAGAGUGUGUGAGAGGGGUAGUGGAAUUUUCGCUGUGUAGCGGUGAAAUGCGUAUAUAUACGGAGGAACACCGAUGGCGAAGGCGACUACCUGGGACUGAUACUGACACUCAUGCGCGAAAGCGUGGGGGAGCAAACAGGAUUAGAUACUCCUGGGAGUCUACGCGCUAAACGAUGUCUACUAACUGUUGGGGACCUUUGACAUCUUAUAGCGCACCUAUCACGCGAUAUUGACCCCCCGUGGAGAGCACGCGCGCGAUGUAAAACUCUCACGUGUUUUGAGGGACCCGCACACGCGCUGUGUGAUGUGUGUUAUUUUCUCUGCAUCGCGCAAAGACACUUCUCACGC
rnacentral:rRNA from 1 species